AGUACCUUUGCACCGCAUUCAGUUAAGGGAAGCAGGUGCAAUUCCUGCACAGUCCCGCUGCUGUGAUUCGCAAUCCGAUAUUCAAAUUCUUAUAAGUCACUGGCUGACUGUCAAUUGUCAACUAUCAACUGUCAACUGACAAAGCUGGGAAGGCGGAAUAAAGGAGCGAUAAGUCAGAAGACCUGCUGCGUG
rnacentral:ncRNA from 1 species